rnacentral:rRNA from 1 species
UACGGGGGGGGCAAGCGUUGUUCGGAAUUACUGGGCGUAAAGGGUUCGUAGGUGGCUUGCUCAGUCAGACGUGAAAUCCCUCAGCUUAACUGGGGAACUGCGUCUGAUACUGGCGAGCUUGAGUGCAGGAGAGGAACGCGGAAUUCCAGGUGUAGCGGUGAAAUGCGUAGAUAUCUGGAGGAACACCGGUGGCGAAGGCGGCAUCCUGGACCAACACUGACGCUGAGGAGCGAAAGCCAGGGGAGCAAACGGG